CACACCCACAACAACACCACCCAUGCUAGCCUGCCCCUUAAUUAACACCCACAAAGUCUCAGCUUGCUUCACUUCCUUCCUUGGACAGAACUCACUAUGUUCUGGUGGCUCUCUCACAUACACAGCAAUUCCAUCACCUUCCCUUGUUGAUCUGCCUUUCCUGAAAAGGACCUAACCACCCAAGACCACUUUCCACUCAUUGUGAGCUGUCCCACCAUGUCUCUGCAUUUGUCACCUUCUUGCUGGAGGAGUCUGUGAGACAAAAGAACAAGAAUUCAUCAGUUUUCUUUAUUUAUCUGGAGUGGGCAACAAGGACCUGGAAAAAAUGAUUAUGCCUUCUUGCUGCAACAUCUUUAUGCUGUGCUGAAGAUUUACACCAGAUCUCCAACAGUAAGAAUUCACAAUUGUCCUCUGUGACAGACUGCUUUUCUGUUAUUGGAUGAAUUCAAUAACCUUCAGCCUCAAUAAUUCAGACCUGGUGGUUUCUGGGUGUCAUUUCCAGUCUCCAUUUCUCACAGAGCAAAGAGAUUUUCUGUCCAGAACACUUUGACCAUAUUGGAUUAUAAGGAACUCAUAUAGAAGAUCCCAGGCAUUCUUCAGUCAUCUGGAUAUGAUGGUUGUUCCUGACACUGGUCAUGUCACUCUGGAAUGCUCUUAGGAGAUUUCUUCCAGAUUCUCACUGACCUAUGGAAAUAGAAGCUGUUGGUAACA